UACGAAGGGGGCUAGCGUUGCUCGGAAUCACUGGGCGUAAAGCGCACGUAGGCGGCUUUUUAAGUCAGGGGUGAAAUCCUGGAGCUCAACUCCAGAACUGCCUUUGAUACUGAGAAGCUUGAGUCCGGGAGAGGUGAGUGGAACUGCGAGUGUAGAGGUGAAAUUCGUAGAUAUUCGCAAGAACACCAGUGGCGAAGGCGGCUCACUGGCCCGGUACUGACGCUGAGGUGCGAAAGCGUGAGGAGCAAACAGG
rnacentral:rRNA from 1 species